rnacentral:snRNA from 1 species
AGCUUUGCGCAGAGGCGAUAACGUGACGAAUGAGGCUCUGCCGAGGUGCGUUCAUUGCUGGUUCAAUUCUGUAAAACAUGGUCUUCAAUGUGACGGUCGUGUAAGCUACUAUUUUAAAAAAUCGUUCGAACAA